AACGUAGGACGCAAGCGUUAUCCGGAGUUACUGGGCGUAAAGGGCAGGCAGGCGGGUCGAUAAGUCGGAUGUGAAAUCUCCCUGGCUUAACCGGGAGAGUGCAUUUGAGACUGUCAACCUGGAGGGCAGCAGAGGAGCGUGGAAUUCCGGGUGGAGUGGUGAAAUGCGUAGAGAUCCGGAGGAACACCAGUGGCGAAGGCGACACGCUGGGCCAUACCUGACGCUAAAGCGCGACAGCAUGGGGAGCAAACGGG
rnacentral:rRNA from 1 species